rnacentral:snRNA from 1 species
AAAAGAAACUAACAAGGAUUCC